GCAAAUGCUGAAAACAAAAUGAAGAAAAUACAUCCACACCCAUGCUCAGUUUCAGUUUAGAGUAAGAAGUUACCAUAACAUGUACGUCUCUGGGGAAGAGGAGGAGACCAGUGUACCUUGAGAAAAUCAUCACAGAUACAAAGAAAACGUUCAAACAUUUCACUGGGAUCACAAAUAUGAUCUGAAUCCAGGACCUUGGGAAUAUGAGGCAAGAUGCUAAUCAAUCCAACUUGACUUAAGAAGAAAGUAAACAGAUGGGAGUCCAAUACAGAACUGAUUCAAACAUGGCUGAACCUCCGGUUAUAUGGGUUCCAGUCUGGAAGGGGCAGUUCCAGGAGGGCAGACAACAGAGAGGAAGAGAGACGGCAUUAGCACUCAGUGCCAGCCCCUGGUUCAGCAGUUCAGCUGAAGACCCUGCCUCUCAAUGACAUCACCACCGGUCCACCCAAUGUUGAGUUCACUUCUAGCAACCCCUGAUGAUGUCAUUUCCAGUACCCACAAUACAUCUUCCUGCCACAUCAGUUCCUGUUCUGGCUGUCCUGACUCCACCUCUUCCUCUUAUCCACCGUAUUUAUAGCCCAAACACAACCUGUUAGUCAGUUCAGUUGUAAACUCCGCAUCUGUAAAGACAUGUUUUUUUUUUUAUUUUGCUGAUUUUUUAGUAUAUGGGGUGGCCAUCUCCAAACCUC